GGCUGGUCUGAAGGUAGUGAGUUAUCUCAAACGUUGAAUGCCUUGUUCUACUAUCUCCCCACUUCUCACUACUGCACUUGACUAGUCUUAA
rnacentral:Y_RNA from 1 species